rnacentral:rRNA from 1 species
AGUGAACGCUGGCGGUAGGCCUAACACAUGCAAGUCGAACGGCAGCACAGUAAGAGCUUGCUCUUACGGGUGGCGAGUGGCGGACGGGUGAGGAAUACAUCGGAAUCUACUUUUUCGUGGGGGAUAACGUAGGGAAACUUACGCUAAUACCUCAUACGACCUACGGGUUAAAGCAGGGGAUCUUCGGACCUUUCGCGAUUGAAUGAGCCGAUUUCGGAUUAGCUAGUUGGCGGGGUAAAGGCCCACCAAGGCGACGAUCCGUAGCUGGUCUGAGAGGAUGAUCAGCCACACUGGAACUGAGACACGGUCCAGACUCCUACGGGAGGCAGCAGUGGGGAAUAUUGGACAAUGGGCGCAAGCCUGAUCCAGCCAUACCGCGUGGGUGAAGAAGGCCUUCGGGUUGUAAAGCCCUUUUGUUGGGAAAGAAAAGCAGCAGGUUAAUACCCCGCUGUUCUGACGGUACCCAAAGAAUAAGCACCGGCUAACUUCGUG